rnacentral:rRNA from 1 species
AACGAACGCUGGCGGCAUGCCUAACACAUGCAAGUCGAACGAGACCUUCGGGUUUAGUGGCGCACGGGUGCGUAACGCGUGGGAACCUGCCCUUAGGUUCGGCAUAACUCCCCGAAAGGGGUGCUAAUACCGGAUAAUGUCUUCGGACCAAAGAUUUAGCGCCUUUGGAUGGGCCCGCGUUGGAUUAGCUAGUUGGUAGGGUAAAAGCCUACUAAGGCGACGAUCCAUAGCUGGUCUGAGAGGAUGAUCAGCCACACUGGGACUGAGACACGGUCCAGACUCCUACGGGAGGCAGCAGUGGGGAAUAUUGGACAGUGGGCGAAAGCCUGAUACAGCAAUGCCGCGUGAGUGAUGAAGGCCUUAGGGUUGUAAAGCUCUUUUACCCGGGAUGAUAAUGACAGUACCGGGAGAAUAAGCUCCGGCUAACUCCGUG